rnacentral:rRNA from 1 species
CUACGGGUUGCACCAGUGGGGAAUAUUGCACAAUGGAGGAAACUCUGAUGCAGCAACGCCGCGUGGAGGAUGACACUUUUCGGAGCGUAAACUCCUUUUAUAUAGGAAGAUAAUGACGGUACUAUAUGAAUAAGCACCGGCUAACUCCGUGCCAGCAGCCGCGGUAAUACGGAGGGUGCAAGCGUUACUCGGAAUCACUGGGCGUAAAGAGCGUGUAGGCGGGUUAAUAAGUCAGAAGUGAAAUCCUAUGGCUCAACCAUAGAACUGCUUUUGAAACUGUUAACCUAGAAUAUGGGAGAGGUAGAUGGAAUUUCUGGUGUAGGGGUAAAAUCCGUAGAGAUCAGAAGGAAUACCGAUUGCGAAGGCGAUCUACUAGAACAUUAUUGACGCUGAGACACGAAAGCGUGGGGAGCAAACCGGAUUAGAUACCCUGGUAGUC